rnacentral:rRNA from 1 species
UACGUAGGGGGCAAGCGUUGUCCGGACUUAUUGGGCGUAAAGAGCUCGUAGGCGGCUUGUCGCGUCGUCCGUGAAAACCCACAGCUCAACUGUGGGCUUGCGGUCGAUACGGGCAGGCUAGAGUUCGGUAGGGGAGACUGGAAUUCCUGGUGUAGCGGUGAAAUGCGCAGAUAUCAGGAGGAACACCGGUGGCGAAGGCGGGUCUCUGGGCCGAUACUGACGCUGAGGAGCGAAAGCGUGGGGAGCGAACAGG